rnacentral:rRNA from 2 species
GGACUACUGGGGUUUCUAAUCCUGUUUGCUCCCCACGCUUUCGUGCCUCAGUGUCAGUGUUGAGCCAGAUGGCCGCCUUCGCCACUGAUGUUCCUCCCGAUCUCUACGCAUUUCACCGCUACACCGGGAAUUCCACCAUCCUCUCUCACACUCUAGCUUCCCAGUAUCCACUGCCAUUCCCAGGUUGAGCCCGGGGAUUUCACAGCAGACUUAAGAAACCACCUACGCACGCUUUACGCCCAGUAAUUCCGAUUAACGCUUGCACCCUUCGUAUUACCGCGGCGGCUGGCAC